AAUGGAUUACCAGCUUUUGCGAAAAUUGCAACAGAUGGCGCUAGUGAGCAGGAGUUUUUCACUUUUAAAAUGUAUGGAGAAAAUAAUAAAAAUUCGUUUUUUGACUAAUUAAACAUUUUAUCAGAAAAAAUAUUUGGUACAGGUUGUAGGCCAUUAUGAUAGCAAUCUACUGUACCAAAUAUUUUUUAUCAAAAUUUCGAAAUAUUCAAAAUAUUUGGAAAAAUGUUCAAAUUUCCAUACAUUAUUUCCACCGAUAACUUCUGCACACUUCUGCCUCGAUAUUGGUUGAUCUUCGUUUUCCUAUACAUGGCAAAGCGAAUAUACAUGGAUUCGUAUUUACCCUUAUUUACCUAUCUGUCAAUUCGUAAGCAAAAAAAUAAAAAAAAAGUUCGAAGCUGUUUGGAGUUAGAAGCGGCAAAGAGGAAGCAAAAAUCUGCGGUGUAAUAGCUUUCCCCACCACCGCAGCAGUCAGCAAGCAGCCGUCCUCCGGGUGAAAAAUAGCAGCGACGAGUGGCUCGGCAGCCAAGAUGGUGGACAUUCAUCGAGGAACCACACGCCAGCCGGCGGAAGAUCAUUCUCAAAUCGGAAACGGAUCGAGCAUGGCCUGUUCAAGUUGAUUGCCGGUUCCAUGGUGCUGAUGCAGUUUGGGAAGCUGUUCGUGAUGGAGGACUGAAGGACCAGUCGUGGAAGGUGAUUUUCCUAGUGACGUACAUUUUUGGCGAUGUCAUCAAGAUCUCAUCUCGCUGGAGGUGGUGUGUCACGAGAACACUCAUAAUCUGGCCUUCGUUGGACACUAUCUACAUGUUCCGGAUUAAAAACAUGCUCCUACUACGGAUUCGAAACUCUUGUUACGACCCUUUGAACUGGAUUACUACAAUGAGUAUCACGAUUUCCCGGCCGUUCUCGGCUGCUACCUCCCCGGAAUUAUAAGGAUCGCACCGGAAGAUACCAUCGCGCAGUUUACCAGCUGGAUCAGGGUGUAGUACGACUUUACCACGGAUCCGGCCAUCGGACCGAUCGUACGCCCGGAUCAAACGGGGCGGGGGGACUGGAUUUCUGAAACGCUUCUUCACCAGGGGACUUGAGGCGCGUCGAGGUAAGUCAAUUUAGAUUGAUAAACUUCGUUUCCCAUAACUGCCAUUAUCGGAUUCGGCGGGUGGAAUCCGACCAGUGAUUUGUUUGUCUCCCGGCUUCGCCAGUCAAUAGUUUAUUGCUGGUUCCUAUGGGGAUUCCACCAAGAGUUCUUUCGGUGGAUUCUGCUGAAGUUUUUCCAUGCAUGGAUUCCUCCAGGUUCACCAUUAAGGUUCAAUCCAUGAGUUCAUUCAGGGAUGUCUCAUGGAGUUUCAUUUGGCAUCCUUCCAGGAAAUCCUCUAGAAGUUCCUUCAAGGUUUAAUGCCUUUAGGGAUUUCUGGUAGAGUUCCAUUUGAAAACCCAAUUGGGAUCCUUCCAGGAAUUCCUUCAGGGAUAUACCUAAGAGUUCCUGCAAGAGUUUCUCAAAGAGUCCCAUUAGGGAUCCUUCCAGGAGUUCUUUUGGGAAUUCCUCCAGGAGUUUCCUCAAGGAUUAAUCCAGGAGCUCAUUCAGGGAAUUCUCAAGGCGCUCCAUUAGUUAUUUCACAGAAUUCCCCACGUUUUCUUUCAGGGGUUUCUUCAGGAAUUUCAUCAGUGAAUCCUCUUUGAGUUCUUCCAGGAAUUCCUUCAGGGGUUUUUUUUUCAGGAAUUCCUUUGGAGAUUUCUCCAGGAGUUCCAUAAGGAAUCCUUCCAGUAGUUCUUUCAUGAAGUACUUUCAUGUUUUUUUAUCUAGUUCGUUCAUUUAAAGGCUCAUUUGUCGAUAACAGCUUUACAGAGCCGAAAUUCAAACUUUCAUGGUUUCUUUCAACACUCCCUUCAGGCAUUCCUCUAAAAGUUUCUUCAGUAAAUCCUUCCCGAGUCUUACGGGAAUUUCUCCAGAUGUUCCAAUAAGGAUUUUUCAAAGAAUCCCAUUAGAGAUCCUGCCAAAAGUUCAUUUGGGGAUUCCUCGAUGAGUUCCUUCCAUGAAUCGUGCUGGAUUGCUUCCAAGGAUUCCUCCAGGAGUUCCUUCAAGGUUUAUGGGCUAUAUAUGUGUUUUUUGACGUUUCAAGUUGCUAGCCAAGACAAAGUCCACGGUCAAAAUGUAUGGAUGAUCGAUUUUCAAAAACUUGUACAUGUAUUUUGCCUCAUAAACCUUUCUUGGGUGAGAACUAACAGAACAAAACUAAGACGACCAAAAUCGGACCAUUCGUUCUCAUGUUAUGCGCGGUCCCACGUAUACCACUGCAUUUUUAUAUAUAUAGAAGAUAUAUAUUUCAGAAGUUAUUUCAAAGAAUUCUCCAGGUUUUCGUUAAGGAAUUUCUUCAGUGAAUCCACUUUGAGUUCUUCCAGUGAUUCCUUCGAAAGUUUUAAGGUUUAAUACACGAGUUCCUUCAGGGAUUUCUCAAGUAGUCUCAUUAGGAAUCCUUCCAGGAGUUCUUUCAUGGAGUCCUCCUGAAGUUCUCUCUUGGUUUCCUUACUUCUAGAGUUUUAAGGUUUAAUACACGAGUUCCUUCAGGGAUUUCUCAAGUAGUCUCAUUAGGAAUCCUUCCAGGAAUUCCUUCAUGGAGUCCUCCUGAAGUUCUCUCUUGGUUUUCCUUUCUUCUAGAGAAGUUCUUCCCAGAGUGCUUAGGCGAUUCCUCCAGGAGUUCCGUCAAGGAUUUUUCAUGGAGAUGGAUUUGGUAUCCUUCCAGGAAUUCCCGCAGAAGUCCAUUCAAGGUUUAAUCCAGGAGUUUCUUUGGGGAUUUCUCUUGGAGUUCUAUUGGGAUCCUUCCAGGAAUUCCUUCUAAGAUAUUAUUCAUUAUCUUUAUUAACGAGAUUUUCAGCCCAGGGCUGGUUCAACUAAAUUAGGAGGGACUUCAGGGAUUUCUCAAGGAGUUCCAUUUGAGAUCCUUCCAGGAGUUCCCGAAAAGAAUCCUUGCAGAUUCUUUACUACAGGAGUUCCUGCAAGGUUAAAUCUUGGAGUUACUUCAAGGAUUUCUAAAUGAGCUUCAUUAGCUAUUCUUCCAGGAGUUUUUUUAAAGUAUUUUGCAGAAUUUAUUUUGGGAAUUCCUUAUGUGAAUCCUCAUGCAGUUCUUCCACGGAAUUGAUUUAGGAGAUCUUUCAAGGUUUGAUUCAAGAGUUCUUUCAAGGAUUUCUUUAGGAGUUCCAUUAGGAAUCCUUCCAGAAGUUCCGCCUGGAAUAUUUUCAUGGCUUCUUUCAGUAUUUCUUCCAGGGAUUUCUCCAGGAGUUUAUUUAGGAAUUCCUUCAGAACUUGUUUUUAGAAAUACAUGAUUCAAUCCAUGAUUUCAUUCAAGAAUAUCUCAUGAAGUUCCAUCUGGCAUCCUUCCAGGUGUUUCAUCAAGGUUAAUUCCAGGAGUUCUUUCAGGGAU